rnacentral:lncRNA from 1 species
AAUACAAUACUCUUAAUCACAUUGUUUAAGUGAUAGUUUGUUUCAUGUCUACUAUCCAAUGUGAUAUUUUCCUAUAUGAUUCCCUUGAAUAUGAUUUGGAAUAAACUUUCUAAGUCAUAUUCAUUUUCUUUGGCCAAAGACUUUAGAAUCAUAUCUUAGAGUAUUCUCCCUCCAUCAUGGAAGGUUAGAGAUCCCUUGUUGUGCAUUCAUAUGCCUACAUGACUAGAUAGCUUGACCCCAACAAUGCCGUGGACACUCCAAAGGAAUGUCGUUGACAGGAUCAAAGAUCAAGGACCUAAUCAUUAGACAUCGAUGAUGCCUCAGGUCAAAGGACUACUUUG